GACCAGGUGCGACAGCCAAUGUGUCUCGGUAGCGACUGGGGGAAAUUGUGGCCUUCCAUUUUGUCAUAGAUAACGCUGUAAAAAUGUGUGUGUACUACUUCCGGUUCCAGCCUUUCCCCAUUGAAGAAGGGGGGUUUAUUCAUGACUGCACUGCAGCUGUGCGCACGGCCUCUCUCGCCCUACUCUUCGACUAAUCUGUGUACAAUGUUGUGAGCUCAAGGUGAACUGCUGUGACAUGAGACUAUGAAUACCAUACUAAUAGUUUGCUGAUAGCAGUUUUGGUGCGUUAACUGUCCUUUUUGAUUGAUGCUGGGUAUCUUGUGCUUCAUAGAUAUGACAAGUUGAGUGGUUUGCAUCGCAUUGAGUUAUCAGUGGCUGUGCAAGGAAAAACCAGGAGAACUUCGAUUUGCUAUACAAAGACUUUGAGAAACAGGGUGAUUACAUGCAGCUUUCUGCCUAUAGCUCCAAAACUCCAUGCAUAUACAAAUGCAACAUGACUUGUGGUCACGCGUUUCAAAGGAUGGCUAAACCAUCCGGAUUAUUGGUGUUACACCAGAUACACGCAAAAAACUGAUUAUCAAAUGUCACUACCAAUUUUGUUUUGAUCUUGAUUAAUGAAAUCGGAACCGAUGUAGAUGAACUUGUCCACCUGAACAUGUUCUAUGAGCACUGGGCCUGUAUGGGCACCGCCGUCGGUGUAGCUUCCGGCAAAUCCCUUGGUAGGAUAUCCCGGUUAGGCAAGUAGGCUGGAGUGGGUCAAGCACGCAUAGAGGAUCAGAUAGGGUGCACCCGAGAAACGAUAUGACAACUCUUCAGUAUUACUCUUCCGCAAAAAAAAAGGACUCUUUGGUAUUACUUCAAGAUAUUCUAAACUCACUCCUUCAAAUAUUUAUGCAAUUAUAGCAAAAACAGAAGCUAUAGUUAGAUUAUGUUGACUUGGUUAUUAGAUGACAAGCUCCUACAAAACAUCUUACAUACCCUAGAUAUUUAUAUAUCCAGAUUUGUAUAUUUGCAUAUAUCUAAUUAUAGAAAAAGUACUAUCAAGAUAUUUGUUAUACCAUAUACUUUAGAUGUCUCAACUAAGAUAUUUAAGGUACACACCAAUAAAUGUAUACGCAUAAUCAUGUAAAUUUCAAAAAUUAAUCUGAGAAGACAUGCACUUGUUUUUUAUUUUCUGAAAUUUGUAAAUAUGUUUUUAGCACUCAAUGUAUUGAAACAAGUACAACUUUUAAUAGAAAAUGCAUUUUAAUUUUACCAUAGUGUAUUGUUUGUGAUUGUGAUUUGACAAAAAUGAUUUAUAAACAAGUGUUCAAGUUAGUAUAAAUAAUUAUAUUUAUUUUAAUUCGCGUUAGCGGCUCAGAAAUCAGGGAGUCGAACCACCGAAAAAUCGAGAAGCAUGUCUCCACUAUGAUGAUGAUGACACCGACGAAGACGCUGUUCUAGUUGUGAGUGAUGUCAAUGAUAAAGGCAGAGUGAAGAUGAUCAUCUCUUUUGUAGAAUGAUGUCUUCUAAAAGACUGGUCCGCUAAAAGAGAUUGUGUCUCUUUGGCUCCGCUUCACUAAUUCAAGUUAAACAUUGUAUUCUUGUUUCUAACCAAUAAAAUGUAGGACUAACUUGGAAAAAAUGAUUGCAGUGAUGAUGUUAGCGACUAGGGUUCGAAGAUUGAUUCUGAUUCUCUGUUUCGUGAAUGAUGCUCUCUCUAUUGAUAUUUUGGCGUCGACCCUUUAUAAAUGUUAGUCUGGUGGAUCACCUAAAGCCGGUGGCGUGUGGUACGAGCGGCACGCUCGUACCGUGCAUCGGUUUACACUCUGGAUUGCCUGUUGCGCCUCCUGUUGACUUGCCUCUUCCACCAAACUUCAUAUUUCCUUAUAUAUGUUGACACCCUUCUCUGUUUAGGCUCAUUUCAUGCGGAAACACAUUAAACAAAGAAUUUUAUGAUCUCUCGCAUUUAUUGGUCAUUACUUGUAAUAUCGGAGUGAUUUUCUCGAAAAUUCCAGAAUUAUCUGGUUUAAGCAACAGUGUGAUGAGCGCAAAAAUAUCAUUCAUUCAUUGAGAACAUAGAUUGCGGUGUUCCAAAGAACAUUAUCUCUGGCGCUGAAGAAAAUGAAUUGUAUUGCAAGAGUUUCCAAAGUCUUCACUCAAAAAAUAGGUUUGCAUUGAGCAUCACUUUAGAAAUAUUGUUUUCGUAUCCCCUUAACCCCUCUUAACAGUAUGAUGUUCCCAACGACUCAAAUAAGAGAAAAAGAACUGCCAAAAGACUAAGUCUUCACAUUCAAAUUCUUCGACUAAUUCUUCAUGAGGGUGCACUGAAAUCUUCAAUGUUUCCAUACAUUUUUAGGGGUCAUCUAUGAUGGUUAAACCAAAUCUUCAAGGACUUUCACAUGUGUAUACUCACAAACCCAUUAGUCGCUUAACUAUUUUUGUUAUCAAUACUCCAAAACCACAAAAGGGGCACUAGAUGCACUUACAACAGGCCCUACCAGAGUGAUACCAGUGUAAUAUCACUCAUUGGAGAAGAGUACACCUCUGAUGAUGAUUCAACCAAAUGCUCAUGUCGGCAUUGCCGCUCUAGCAAGACUUGUCACGACAAGCUGAUGUCUACUAGGCAAUUAUUCUUGUAGACUCUGUUGGGCUUCCAAGCGCAAAGUUUUGUAGGAUAGUAGCAAAUUUACCUCAAGUGAAUGACUUAAGAUUUAUCAAUUCGUGGGAGAUGUAGGAUAAAGAUGCAUGGUCUCUCUCAAACAACCCUGCAAUCAAAUACAAGAAAUCUCUUGUGUCCCCAAAACACCCAAUACAAUGGUAGAUUGUAUAGGUCCACUAGUUAGGCGAAGAGAUGGUGUACAAAAUGUGUAUGUAUAGUAGAUAUAGGUUUUUGUAAUCUAAAAUAAAAAAGAUAGCAAGUAGCAAACAACGAGAAAAAUGGUAUAUCAAUGCUUAGAAACAAGGUCUAGGGUUCAUACUUUCAUUACUGCAAUCUCUCAACAGUGCUAACAUAAUUGAAUCAUAUAACCAUCCCUCCACGUGCAAUAAAGAAUCACUCAAAAGUUCUUAUCAAUAGCGGAGAACAUAAGAUGAAAUUGUUGUAGGUAGCAAACCACCUCAAAGUUAUCUUUCCGGUCAAUCUAUUGAUCCAUCCCUAUAAGUGUCACAAACAACCCUAGAGAUUGUACUACAAUAACACCAUAUGAUACGCAUCAAUCAACUCUAAUGUCACCUAAAUACUUCAAUAUUACCAUAAGUAUCCAUGAGUUGAUUAUUCGAUAUGCAUCAAACAAUUUCAGAUUCAUAACAUUCAAUCCAACACAAAGAACUUCAAAGGUUACGCCAAAGUUUCUAUCAGAAAAAGUAGGAUGAAAACAUGCAUCAACCUAUGUGCCUAGAUUACCCCAAUGUCACCUUGGGAAUCCACAAGUUGAUUACCAAAACAUACACCAAGUGACUCAAUAGGAUACCCCAUUGUCAUCACGAGUAUCCACAUGCAAGACAUAUAUCAAGUGAUCUCAAAUCCAAAUUAUUCAAUCUGAUAAUAAUGGAACCACAAAGGGCCAGAGUCAAUUCAUCACAACAAAGAUGAGAGGGAAGAAACACCAUAUGAUUUGACUAUAUUAACAAAGCUCAUGGUACAUCAAGAUUGUGCCCUAUCAAGAUCACAAGGAGAGAGAGAGAGAGAGAGAGAGAGAGAGAGAGAUCAAACACAUAGCUAAUGGUACAUACCCUCAGCCCCGAGGGUGAACUACUCCCUACUCGUCAUGGAGUCAUGGAGGCAGCGAGGAUGAUGAAGACGACCUCCGGUGAUGACUUCCCCCCCUCCUGGAGGGUGCUGGAACGGAGCUUUGGAUGAGAUCACAUCGGAACAAAGGAUUAUGGCGGCUAAAAAACUCAUCUAGGUUUCUUUUUGGAGGUUUCUAUAUUUAUAGGUGAAAGAUCGAGGAUGUCGCUUAGAGGGGGGGUGGGGGGUGAAUAGGCUCUUUAAAAUAAUUACGGUUAGGCUUGAACAAAUGCAGAAUAAACCUAGAGGUUAAUUUGUCAAGCACAAAACCUAUGACAACUAGGCUCACCUAAGUGCACCAACAACUUAUGCUAAGCAAGAUAAACAACUAUGUGAUAGAAAGAUAUAUAACAUGAAACACUAUGGCUAUCACAAAGUAAAGUGCAUAAGCAAAGGGCUCGAGUAAGAGAUAACCGAGGCAAAUGGAGACGGCGAUGUAUCCCGAAGUUCACACCCUUGCGGAUGCUAAUCUCCGUUUGGAGCGGUGUGAAGGCACAAUGCUCCCCAAGAAGCCAGUAGGGCCACCGUAAUCUCCUCACGCCCUCGCACAAUGCAAGAUGUCGUGAUUCCACUAAGGGACCCUUGAGGGCGGUCACCGAACCCGUACAACUGGCAACCCUUGGGGGCGGUCACCGACCCCAUACACUUUGGCAACCCUUGGGGGCGGUCACUGGUACCCGUCAAAUUGCUAGGGGCGAUCUCCAAAACCUAAUUGGAGACCCCGACGCUUGCUCGGAGCUUUACACCACAAUGAUUGAGCUACGAACACCACCAACCGUCUAGGGCGCCCAAGCACCCAAGAGGAACAAGCUCAAGUGUACCAAGCACCCAAGAGUAAUAAGCUACUCAACUUUCACUUCCACGUAUCAUCGUGGGGAACUCAAACCGAUGCACCAAAUGCAAUGGCAAGGGCACACAGAGUGCCCAAGUCCUUCUCUCCCAAAUCCCACCAAAGCAACUAAUGCUAGGGAGGAAAAUGAGAGGAAGAACAAAGAAGAGAACACGAAGAACUCUAAGAUCUAGAUCCAAGGGGUUCCCCUCACAUAGAGGAGAAAGUGAUUGGUGGAAAUGUGGAUCUAGAUCUCCUCUCCCCCCCCCAAACUAGCAAGAAUCCAUGAAGGGAUUGAGAUAUAGCAAGCUCGAAGAAGGUCAACAAUGGGGGAAGAACAUGAGCUAAAGAGAUAAGGUUUAUUGGGUACGAAGACCCCUUUUAUAGGCACCCCCAAAUCCAACCGUUAUGCACUCAGGUCAUGCACAAGCGAUACUACCACUCGGAGGAGCGGUACUACCGCUUAGCACGGUCAAAACUACUAGGUGAGCUUGUGGCCCCCCUGGACACCUUCUGGCUCCCUCCCAAAGCUUCCUGGGUAUCUUAUUUUCCAUUAAAAAAUCACCACAAAUUUCCUGGCAUUUGGACUUCGUUUGGUAUGGAUUUUCUGGAAAACCAAAAACAUGCAAAAAAUAACAACUGGCACUCUGCACUAGGUUGAUAGGUUAAUUAGCUCGUGAAAAUCAUAUAAAAGUGCACCAAAACCAUAUAUUUUUUGUAAUAUGGCACGAAUACUUUAUAAAUUAUAGAUAUAUUGGAGACGUAUUAAUAUCCCAAACUUAAUUCCGGCUCAUCCUCGAAUAGGUAAACGAUAAAAGAAGUAACUUAUGAAGUAUGAAUGCUAGCAUAGUGCAUACGUUCGAUCGAUUUUACAUUCAAUCACUUUUCCUAGCAUCAUAAACAUAAACUCUUUCUCAUAAAACUCAUCAUGAUAAAGUAGCAAUCAAUUCACAUGUUAUGGUUCAAACAAUGCAUUCUCUUGAAACUUGACAACCUAUGUUCUUAGUCACCAAACACUUACAAUUCAACUUAUUUUCAGAAAGGUCUAAGUAAGAGCUUCACAUACUCAAUCAUCAUAUAGUAUUAUAUGAUUUCUAGUACUCAAAGCAUAUUUUUAAAACAAAUAGCAUCGAUCGGACACAGAAAAAGAUAGAGACUUAAUGAUGACGUAGGAAGUUUUGUUCAUGCAAUAAUUUGGAUUUUGGGCAUUGUACGGUGUCCUAGUGAUCCUUGCUGCCUGAUGUCUACUACGCAACUUUAUUCUUAUAGACACAUGUUGGGCCUCCAAGCACAGAGUUUUGUAGGACUGUAGCAAUUUUCACUCAAGUGGAUGACCUAAGGUUUAUCAAUCCGUGGGAGGUGUAGGAUGAAGAUAGUCUCUCUCAAGCAACCCUGCAAUCAAAUACAAGAAAUCUCUUGUGUCCCCAACACACCCAAUACAAUGGCAAAUUGUAUAGGUGCACUAGUUCGGCGAAGAGGUGGUGAUAAAAGUGUAGUAUGGAUAGUAGAUAUGAGUUUUUGUAGUGAGAACAAUAAAAAACAGCAAGGUAGUAAAUAGUAAAACGGAGCACAAAUGGUAUUGCAAUGAUGGAAAAUGAGGCCUAGGGUGCAUACUUUCACUAGUGCAAUCUCUCAACAAUGCUAAUAUAAUUGGAUCAUAUAACCAUCCCUGAAAGUGCGAUGAAGAAUCACUCCAAAGUUCCUAUCUAGAGGAGAACAUAAGAAUAAAUUGUUUGUAGGGUACAAAACCACCUCAAAGCUAUUCUUUCUGUUCGAUCUAUUCAAGAGUUCGUACUAAAAUAACACGAAGCUAUUCUUUCCGUUCAAUCUAUCCUCGAAUUCGUACUAAAAUAACACCAAAGCAAAUUCAUAUUCAUAAUACUAAAUCCAACACAAAGAACUUCAAAGAGUGCCCCAAGAUUUCUACCGGAAAAACAAAGACAAGAACGUGCAUCAACCCCUAUGCAUAGAUUACCCCAAUGUCACCUCGGGAAUCCGCGAGUUGAGUGCCAAAACAUAUAUCAAGUGAAUCAAUACGAUACCCCCAUUGUCACCACGAGUAUUCAAUUGCAAGACAUAUAUCAAGUGUUCUCAAAUCCAUAAAAGUAUUCAAUCCGAUAACAACAAAAUCUCAAAGGGAAAAACUCAAUUCAUCACAACAAGAUAAAGAGGGGAAAACACCAUAUGAUCCGACUAUAUUAACAAAGCCCGCGAUACAUCAAGAUCGUGACAUCCCAAGAACACGAGAGAGAGAUAUAUUAAACACAUAGCUACUGGUACAAACCCUCAGCCCCAAGGGUGGACACUCCCUCCUCAUCGUGGUGGCCACUGGGAUGAUGAAGAUGGCCACCGGUGAUGAUCGCCCCCUCCGGCAGGGUGCCGGAAUGGGGUCUAGAUUGGAUCUCGCGGAUACAGAGGCCUUGCAGCGGCGGAACUUCUGAUCUAGGGCUACCACGAAGGGUUUUGGAAUAUUUGGGAAUUUAUAGGGCAAAGAGGCGGUUCAGGUGGCACCCGAGGUGGGCAGCACCCAUAAGGGCGCGCCUGGGCCUCCUGGUGGGUGCUGUUCCCCUCGAGCAGCCCCCCAGGUGCUUCCUUGGCCCACUGGCUUUCUUCUGGCCCCAAAAAAUCCUCUAGGAGUUUCGUUGCGUUUGGACUCCGUUUGAUAUUGAUUUCCUGCAAUGUAAAGAACAAGCAAAAAAUAGCAACUUGCACUGGGCACUUGGUCAAUAGGUUAGUCCCAAAAAAUGAUAUAAAGUUGCAUUAAAAUGAUUGUAAAACAUCCAAGAAUGAUAAUAUAAUGGCAUGAAUACUUCAUAAAUUAUAGAUACGUUGGAGACGUAUCAGCAUCCCCAAGCUUAAUUCCUAGUCGUCCUCGAGUAGGUAAAUGAUAAAAGAAAUAAUUUAUAAAGUGUGAAUGCUAGCAAAGUGCAUAAGUUUGAUCAAUGAUAAUUUCAAUCACUUUUCCUAGCAUCAUAACAACAAUUCUUUCUUGUAAAACUUCUCAUGUUAUAGUAGCAACCAAUUCACAUGUUACGGUUCAAACAAUGAAUUCUCUUGAAACUCAACAACCUAUGUUCUCAGUCACCAAGCAAUUGCAAUUCAACUUAUUCAACAGAGUCUAAGUAAGAGCUCCACAUACUCAACCAUCAUAUAGUCUUCUAUGAUUGCUAACACUCACUGCAUACACAUGAGCAAAACGUUUCAACCGGACACAUAGAAAGAUAGGGGCUUAUAAUUUCGCCUCCCAACGUAUUCACCUUUGGGUGAUGUCAACAAUAAUAACUCAUGCUACCCAUAUUAAACUGGAUAUAUGUGCCUAUAUCAUUCCUCACCACAUGAUGCUUGCCAAAGGAGAAAAAUAAAAAGGAAUAGAGAGAAAAACUUUGACUUUUGCAUGAAAGUAAAUACAUAAAAGUAAAAGAUAGACCCUUCGCAGAGGGAAGCAGAGGUUUCCAUGCGCUUAUUUGUUUGUAUGCUCAACCCCUUAGUGCAAAAUAACGUCACAUUAUAUUGCCCCUUAUGAUAGCAACCUUUAUUAUGCAGUCUGUCGCUUUUAUUCUUUGCCAUCACAAGUUCGUACAACGCUCAAUUUUCUCUUACACUGAAUGAUCUAACACUUUUAGAAGCAAUUUUUAUUGCCUUAUUGCACCGAUGACAACUUACUUGACGGAUCUUGCUCAAUCCUUAGGUGGGUACGGUGGACUCUUGAAAAUAAGAUUUGGGUUUAAGGGUUUUUUGGAUGCACAAGUAGUAUCUCUACUUGGUGCGGAAUUUUUGGCUAGCAAAGAUGGGGGGCAAGCACCACAUGUUGAAGGAUCUAUGGCAAUAGAACUUCUAUAUGAAUAUGAACAAACAUAAAUCAUUACGUUGUCUUCCUUGUCCAACUUCAACAAUUAUGGCAUAUAAUAUUUUUGAUGGGGGCUCACAAUCACAAAAGAUUUCCAGGAUAGUGUAUUUGCAUGUGAAAGUUCUCUUCCUUCUACCAAUCAUUCAUGAAUUGCUUGUAUGACCAAUAUUGUGAUUGUCAAGCUUCAAAAGAUUUCACUUUCUAAACCCAAUGUGAAGCUACCACUAGGCAUGAUAUUAACAUAUAAUUUCAACUUGAUGAUAUUCAAUUCAUUCAACAAGUUACUCAUAGGAUAUAAGUGAAGCACGAGAGCAAAUGACAAGCUACUCCAAAAAGAUAUAAGUGAAGAUCAAGGGAGUAGUUAUGUAAAUGGGUAGCUAUAUGAGGACUCUCUUUUAUUUAAAACUUUCAGAUCUAAGUAUUUUAUUAAAACAACAAGAAAAACAAAACAAAAUGACAUUCCAAGCAUAGCACAACUAAUGUGAAGAAGAAAAAACUUAGUCUCAAUCGAUACUAACCGAUAAUUGUUGAAGAAGAAAGGUGGGAUGCCUACCGGGGCAUUCCCAAGCUUAGAUGCUUGAGAAUUAUUGAAAUAUAAAUGUGGGAUGCCUUGGGCAUACCCAAGCUUGAGAUUUUGUGUCUCCUUAAUUCCUAUCAUAUCACGGUUUCCCUAAAUCUUAAAAACUUCAUCCACACAAAACUCAACAAGAACUCGUGAGAUAAGUUAGUAUAAAUCAAUGCAAAACCUUAUCAUUCUCUACUGUAGCAAAUUACUAAAAUUAUUAUUCAACAUUGUAUACUAAAUUCCUCUGCAUAUUUAAUACUCCUAUCCUCAAAUAGAAUCAUUAAACAAGCAAACAUAUGCAAAAAAUGCAAACAAGCAAUCUGCCAAAACAGUACAGUCUGUAAAGAAUGCAAGAUUCAUCAUACUUCCCUAACUCCAAAAAUUAGGAGAAAAAUACCACACUAUAGAAACUUUAUUAGAGCUUAUUUUACAGAAAGUUUCCAAAAUUUAUCAUAUUCUGUCUUUUCUAGGGAAUUUUUGCAACAUCGAUAAACUUUCUGUUCUGAAACAGCAACACAUAUACUUGCAAAAUAAGCAUGGCAAAGGCUUUUUUUGCGGGGAUGGCAAAGGCUAUCAUUGCCACUUUUAUUGAAAUAAAAGAUGAAAACAUUAUUAUAAAUAACAGAAAGAAAAUACUAACAAAAUAAAUUGACGCUCCAAGCUAAACACAUAUCAUGUGACGAAUGAAAACAUAGCUCCAAGUGAGGUUACCGAUAAUGUUGGAGACGAAAGAGGGGAUGCCUUCCGGGGCAUCCCCAAGAUUAGUUGUUGGGAUCUUCCUUGGAUAUUACCUUGGGAUGCCUUGGGAAUCCCCAAUCUUAGGGUCUUGUCACUCCUUAUUCUCCUCAUAUCGACAUCUCACCCAAAACUUGAAAGCUUCAAUCACACAAAACUUAAUGGAACUUUGUGAGAUAGGUUAGUAUGAUAAAGAGCAAACCAUUUCACUUUUGGUACUGUCAAACACAAGAUUUAUAAUUGUUUCCACACAAUUCCUACUGUAGCAUAUCAUUUCCACAAUUUAUAUUGAGCAAUAUAAGCCAUAUAAACAAGGAAACAAGCAAACUAUGCAUUGAAAACAGAAUCUGUCAAAAACAGAACAGUCUGUAGUAAUAUAUACUGAAACCAUACUUAUUCUAUUCCAAAAAUUAUUAAAAAACUAUGACCACGUGAGAAAUUUGUAUAUUAAUCUUCUGCAAAAAGAAUCAACUCAAAAGCACUCUUCUGUUAAAAAUGAGAGUUAUUUUUGUGAGCGCAAAAGUUUAUGUUUUUCAGCAAGAUCAAAUCAACUAUCACCCAACAUGAUCCCAAAGGCUUUAAUUGGCAUUUAUUGAAAUAAAAGCAAUAAAACACGACUAUUACAGUAUCAUAAUCAUGUGAACGCACAAAAACAGUAUAUAAAAGUGUUGGAGCUCCCAACAAGCGCUUUUCUUUAAUGCCUUUUAGCUAGGCAUGAUGAGUUCAAUGAUGCUUGCAUAAAAGAUAAAGAUUGAAACAUAACAAGAGCAUCAUGAAUCAUAAGUUCCUCUCUCAUAACAUUUUCAGUAGCAUCAUGAAUAGAUUCAUCCAUAUAACCAUCACAUAAAGCAUUCUUUUCAUGAUCCAAAAGCAUAGAUAAUUUAUUACUCUUUAUGACAUACAUGUCAUCAUAAUAAUCAUCAUAGGUAGCAACUUUGUUCUCAUCAUAGUCAACUGAAACCUCUUCCAAAAUAGUGGAUGCAUCACUAAAUAAAGUCAUGGCCUCUCCAAAUACACUUUCAUCAAUAUUGUAAUAAGAUUUAACACCCUCCAAAAUAGUGGGAUCACUACUACCUAGAGUUGAGACUCUUCUAAACCCACUUUCAUCAUUGUAAUCAGCAUAAAUAGGAGGCAUGCUAUCAUCAUAACAAAAUUUCUUAUCAAAAGUAGAAGGAUAAAAGGAUCGUAUUCAUUAUGCAAAGCAUCCCCAAGCUUGGGACAAGCAUUAUUUUUAGCAAAUAAAUCUUCAAACAUUUCAUACUCAUCAAACAUAGCAUCCCCAAGCUUGUGGUUUUGCAUAUCAUCAUAAUCAUUCUUAUCAAUAGCAUGAAUGGCACCAAUGGCAUAUCAAACAUUAUUAUCAUAUUCUUCCAAGCAAGUGCCAAAAAGAUCUUUGAGGUCAUAAGAGACAUCAUUGUCUUCCCAAUCAUAAUCAUCACAACAAGUAGUAGGCAUCACAAAAUCAUACUCAAUAUCAUCAUCCUCCAUCAACAUAUUUGAUUCACUUUCAUGAGGCACAAUGGUGAUAGGAGCAAUAUUACUUGGGAGAGUUACCUUUUUACCUCUACUUCUUCUUAUUUCCUUUUUCUUCUUCACCACCUCAUGUGUGGGUUUAAUCAAUAUUUUCAAGCUUCUUAUUGAAGAGAUUGAUUCGAUAGGAAGCUCCUCCUCGUUACCCGAUUCAUCAUAAUAAACACUAGGAGGGUAUUGGGAAAUAGUUUCCCUUCCAUCAGUACUCUCUUCAUACACUAUUUGUUUUCUUGUCUUUAGAUAGUUGGUAAUAUAAGGAUUCUCAAUGAAAUUUACCGCACAAAACAUAUAAAUAUCCUCUAGAUCAAAAUCAAGAAUUCUAUUGAGAUUAAAUUUUGGAAUACCCUUAGUUAUACGUUUCAUUUCUUCAUACCCCAAAACAAGACUAAGCUCUUUAUGAUGCUCAAGGGAAAUCAAGUUAUCACAAUUUUUGGACACGAUUUGAUAAUGACACAAAUAGCAUUGGCGAUUAAAAUGACCACGUUCAUUGCAAAGUUCACAAGGAUGGCAAAAAAUAUUAAAUCUUUCAGCGCAAUCAUCUAGCCUCUCUUGUAACUUUUUCGUUUCUAAAUAUUUAUGCUUCUUACAAAAUCUAUCUUCCCUUUUUGGUGUGUGUGCACUCCCAAUAUACUCCGCAAAAAUUGACAUCCUUGUAGGAGACAUCACUAUCAUGGCUAGUGCAAUCAUCAUUAACCUCAUGGAUAUUCAAAGAAUUCAUACUAAAAACAUUGCAAUCAUGCUCAUCAUUCAUGCCAAUCAUUUUAUUAAAUUCUUCUUCUAUCAAUUGAGCACAAUUUUCCGAUCCAUCAUUUUCAAGAAAGAUAUUAUAAAGAAUAAUAUGAUGCAACCUUAAUUCCAUUUUUAUGUAGUUUUCUUUUAUAAACCAAACUAGUGAUAAAACAAGAAACUAAAAGAUUCAAUUGCAAGAUAUAAAGAUAUACCUUCAAGCACUCACCUCCACGGCAACGACACCAGAAAAGAGCUUGAUGCCUACUACGUAACUUUAUUCUUGUAGACACGUGUUGGGCCUCCAAGCGUAGAGUUUUGUAGGACAGUAGCAAUUUUCCCUCAAGUGGAUGACCUAAGGUUUAUCAAUCCAUGGGAGGUGUAGGAUGAACAUAGUCUCUCUCAAGCAACCCUGCAAUCAAAUACAAGAAAUCUCUUGUGUCCCCAACACACCCAAUACAAUGGCAAAUUGUGUAGGUGCACUAGUUCGGUGAAGAGAUGGUGAUAAAAGUGUAGUAUGGAUAAUAGAUAUGAGUUUUUGUACUGCGAACAAUAAAAACAGCAAGGUAGUAAAUAGUAAAAUGGAGCACAAACGGUAUUGCAAUGAUGGAAAAUGAGGCCUAGGGUGCAUACUUUCACUAGUGCAAUCUCUAGACAAUGCUAAUAUAAUUGGAUCAUAUAACCAUCCAUCAAAGUGCGAUGAAGAAUCACUCCAAAGUUCCUACCUAGAGGAGAACACAAGAAUAAAUUGUUUGUAGGGUACAAAACCACCUCAAAGCAAUUCUUUCCGUUCGAUCUAUUCAAGAGUUCGUACUAAAAUAACUCAAAGCUAUUCUUUCCGUUCAUUCUAUCCAAGAGUUCGUACUAAAGUAACACCAAAGCAAAUUAAUAUUCAUAAUACUCAAUCCAACACAAAGAACUUCAAAGAGUGCCCCCAGAUUUCAACCUUAGAAACAAAGACAAGAAUGUGCAUCAACCCCUAUGCAUAGAUUACCCCAAUGUCACCUCGGGAAUCCGCGAGUUGAGUGCCAAAACAUAUAUCAAGUGAAUCAAUACGAUACCCUGUUGUCACCACGAUUAUUCAAUUGCAAGACAUAUAUCAAGUGUUCUCAAAUCCAUAAAAGUGUUCAAUCCGAUAACAAUGAAAUCUCAAAGGGAAAAACUCAAUUCAUCACAACAAGAUAGAGAGGGGAAAACACCAUAUGAUCCGACUAUAUUAACAAAGCCCGCGAUACAUCAAGAUCGUGACAUCUCAAGAACAUGAGAGAGAGAUAGAAAUAUUAAACACAUAGCUACUAGUACAAACCCUCAGCCCCGAGGGUGGACUACUCCAUCCUCAUCGUGGUGGCCGCCAGGAUGAUGAAGAUGGCCACCGAUGAUGAUCCCCCCCUCCGGCAGGGUGCCGGAACGGGGUCUAGAUUGGAUCUCGUGGAUAAAGAGGCCUUGCAGCGGCGGAACUUCUGAUCUAGGGCUACCCCGCAGGGUUUUGGAGUAUUUGGGAAUUUAUAGGGUGAAGAGGCGGUUCAGGGGGCACCCGAGGUGGGCAGCACCCACCAGGGCGCGCCUGGGCUUCUUGGCGCGCCCUGGUGGGUGCUUCUCCCCUCUAGCAGCCCCCAGGUGCUUCCCUGGCCCACUAGCUUUCUUCUGGCCCAAAAAAAAUCCUCCAGGAGUUUCAUUGCAUUUGGACUCCGUUUGAUAUUGAUUUCCUGCGAUGUAAAAAACAAGCAAAAAACAGCAACUGGCACUGGGCACUGGGUCAAUAGGUUAGUCCCAAAAAAUGAUAUAAAGUUGCUAUAAAAUGAUUGUAAACCAUUCAACAAUGAUAAUAUAAUGGCAUGAGUACUUCAUAAAUUAUAGAUACGUUGGAGACAUAUCACUGCCAAGUCUUGAUUUAUCAAGAAUUCUGAAAAUGCUGCUGAUCUCCAGAACUAUGUAUUGUGCGUUGAGAUGCUCAUAGCAGCCAUUGGGCACCUAUUUGCCUUUCCCUGCAAAGAGUAUGCAGGUGCAAAUGCUCGGCUUCCGGUGGUUUCAGGGAAAGCCUUCUUCAUGCUUUAAAAUUCAAUGAUUUCUACCACGACACCGUUCACCAGGUAACCAGGAUCUUACACGCCUAUUCCCUAUAUCUGGCGCUCACUGUCUAACUUCUCGAUCAAAUCGGCUCCAUUUUUGUUUGCUGAAUGAAACUACAUUCUUGUUUACUUUGCCUUGCCUGUAUCUUGGUCUAAUCGGCUCCAUUCUCAUGCAGUUUGCUCCUACCUACAACGAAUAUGUGCUGUACAACCACAAUGAGGGAGAGAGUGCACCAACAAAGUUUCCUUCAGGGAGUGCCGUGCCAAGUGUCCGGGAUGUGGAGUUGGCUGGCAUCACGGUGAUGCCGCCCUCAAAUAGUCCAGUGACCUCAAGCGUGUCAUCCAACCAUGUAGACCAGGACGAGUCGAUGACCACUCCGAUCAGGAACAAAGUGGACCCGCCUGGAGGAAUGUACGACCUUACGGACCUGCUCGACGUGGACUUGUCUAGCUACCCCGCCAAGGUUCCUGCAAUCUCUGAUGUAAGAAAACAAUGACCAGGUGCAACAGCCAAUGUGUCUCGGUAGCGACUGGGGGAAAUUGUGGCCUUCCAUUUUGUCAUAGAUAACACUGUAAAAAUGUGUGUGUACUACUUCCGGUUCCAGUCUUUCCCCAUUGAAGAAGGGGGGUUUAUUCAUGCCUGCACCACAGCUUUUCCACGGCCUCUCUCGCCCUACUCUUCGACUAAUCCGUGUACAAUGUUGUGAGCUCAAGGCGAACUGCUGUGACAUGAGACAAUGAAUACCAUACUAAUAGUUUGCUGAUAGCAGUUUUGGUGCGUUGACUGUCCUUUUUGAUUGGUGCUAGGUAUCUUUCUUGUGCUUCAUAGAUAUGACAAAGAU
rnacentral:lncRNA from 1 species